rnacentral:rRNA from 1 species
AUUGAACGCUGGCGGCAGGCCUAACACAUGCAAGUCGAGCGGAUGAAGGGAGCUUGCUCCUGGAUUCAGCGGCGGACGGGUGAGUAAUGCCUAGGAAUCUGCCUGGUAGUGGGGGAUAACGUCCGGAAACGGGCGCUAAUACCGCAUACGUCCUGAGGGAGAAAGUGGGGGAUCUUCGGACCUCACGCUAUCAGAUGAGCCUAGGCCGGAUUAGCUAGUUGGUGGGGUAAAGGCCUACCAAGGCGACGAUCCGUAACUGGUCUGAGAGGAGGAUCAGUCACACUGGAACUGAGACACGGUCCAGGGUCCUACGGGAGGCAGCAGUGGGGAAUAUUGGACAAUGGGCGAAAGCCUGAUCCAGCCAUGCCGCGUGUGUGAAGAAGGUCUUCGGAUUGUAAAGCACUUUAAGUUGGGAGGAAGGGCAGUAAGUUAAUACCUUGCUGUUUUGACGUUACCAACAGAAUAAGCACCGGCUAACUUCGUG